rnacentral:tRNA from 1 species
GAGGAUAUAGCUCAGCGGUAGAGUGCGUGCUUAGCAUGCACAAGGUCCUGGGUUCAACUCCUGGUACCUCCU